rnacentral:rRNA from 1 species
GACGAACCGUGCUAACGUUAUUCGGAUUCACUGGGCUUAAAGCGCGUGUAGGCGGGCCAGCACGUCGGUCGCUGAAAUCCCCCGGCUUAACCGGGGAACGGGCGCCGAUACGACUGGCCUGGAGGGAGGUAGGGGGAGCCGGAACUCACGGUGGAGCGGUGAAAUGCGUUGAGAUCGUGAGGAACGCCCGUGGCGAAAGCGGGCUCCUGGACCUCGCCUGACGCUGAGACGCGAAAGCGUGGGGAGCGAACAGG